AGUAGGACGUGGCAACCCACUCCAGUAUUCUUGCCUGGAUAAUCCCAUGGACACAGGGAGCCUGGUGGGCUACUGUCCAUGGGGUCACAAGAGUUGGACACAACUGAGCAACUGAGCACACAGGAAUGCAAAUAGGAUUGAGCUGUUACCAAAUCAUAUUUGAGCCCAUCAAUGACUACUUUAGAUAGGAAAUAGAAAAGAGAAGAAGGCUUAACGUGUGUUAAAGUAAAUCUGUAGCCAUUUAAAUUUGAGAAGAAAGAAAAAACAGAAUCCCAAGCAUACAAGCUGAUGUGGAGAAUUUGAGCUGCUUUUAGAAUUAGGCCCAUUAGCACUUGAACCAAACACGUAUGGGCAAGGUAGCCUUCUUUCAUGGAUUUUCCAGAUGGGAACCACCUGCCCCCUCAGAUGGAGGAAGUACUUGCUGACCAUGAGCACACAGCCUCAGGCCUCCUGGAGCCCAAGGACUGAUAACCCCUGUGAUACCACCUGACUGUCUCAACAUCAGCCAAUCAGAAAAUUGUGCACAAGCUGAUCACUACCUUGCAACCUCCUCCUCACCUGCCCUUUAAAAAUGCUCUGCCAAAACCUUUCAGGGAGCUCAGGGCUUUUCAAGGCAUGAGCCACCUCGUCUCCUUGUGUGACCUCGCAAUAAACCUUUCUCUGCCCCAGACUCUGACAUUUCAGUUUAUCUGCUCUCACUGCGCACAGGGGCACAUGAACUUGCGUAUACAUGAUUGCUGUAGUGUGACUGGCAUCUGCCAGGUGCGAUUCUAAGUGCUUUUCACAUGUUACUUCACUCUCACAGCUUGAAAAGUAUAUAUUUUGAUAAUAAUAGCUGCUGUAUAUCGGAUGCUUCCUGUGUGCUAGGCAGACACUGUGCUAAAUACAUUUAUCACUUCAUUUAUACUAUACAACGGUGUAUAUAUGUCCUAUAUUGACAAAACGAAGGCCAGAAGAGUCCUGGGUUUGUCUCUGCACUAUCAAUUUAAAGGAACCUGUUUGUUUAUUUGCAGCCUUCCUUCACAUCCCUAAA